GAUGAACGCUGGCGGCGUGCCUAAUACAUGCAAGUCGAGCGAACAGACGAGGAGCUUGCUCCUCUGACGUUAGCGGCGGACGGGUGAGUAACACGUGGAUAACCUACCUAUAAGACUGGGAUAACUUCGGGAAACCGGAGCUAAUACCGGAUAAUAUAUUGAACCGCAUGGUUCAAUAGUGAAAUACGGUUUUGCUGUCACUUAUCGAUGGAUCCGCGCCGCAUUAGCUAGUUGGUAAGGUAACGGCUUACCAAGGCAACGAUGCGUAGCCGACCUGAGAGGGUGAUCGGCCACACUGGAACUGAGACACGGUCCAGACUCCUACGGGAGGCAGCAGUAGGGAAUCUUCCGCAAUGGGCGAAAGCCUGACGGAGCAACGCCGCGUGAGUGAUGAAGGUCUUCGGAUCGUAAAACUCUGUUAUUAGGGAAGAACAAAUGUGUAAGUAACUAUGCACGUCUUGACGGUACCUAAUCAGAAAGCCACGGCUAACUACGUG
rnacentral:rRNA from 1 species